UUGUGUUGAAUGAAAUAAGUCAUUUAGUGUUACUUUAGUGUCACAAUUUUUAUUUUUCCUAUCAAAAUGAAUUUUCAUGUUCAUAACUUUCUGAGAAUGUUAUUUUUCCUGAAAGCGCUGUGCUGACUUCUGGACUGUGAUGUGGCAUAAAUUCACUGUAUAUGAGCACAUUUCAGGAGUUUAGUCAUUUCUUUCUCCUGCUUCCCCUCGUGCACUUCAUUAUCAU